ensembl:lncRNA
CUGGUGAAUUGCAUAAACUCUUUCCAAAGCGGUCGGGAUUGUCCCUCCCCACUGCAUUUGACAGAUAAAUCAAACAUGCAACUUAAAGCUAAAACACAUCAGACUUUGGAGUUAGUAGGUAAAACAAACCAGCACCAUCAUCUGUCAAUGCCACCAAAACAGAAACAUUCUUCACCUGUUCAACAUGAAAAGAGGACCGGGUUCCUGCUUAUCUCCUGCUGAGCAAGUGAGUAAUGUGAAAUCAGCCAUGGGGAAGCCUGCCACGGUCUCAGAACAGGCUCCUCUGCUCUGUGUGGUGCCCUUGGCAACACAACAGAAGGCUGGGGGGAGCUGGGAGAGGCCUGACCGAGGACAAGGAAAGAAUGGCAUGAAAUACGAUGCAGCUGCUGAACUUUCUUUUCAUUAACUUUAAAUUAUAUCAAUUUCUAGACUUUUGGAUACCUACAGAAAGGAGAAAAAAAAAACACUGAAGAGACAAGCUGUCUGCUUUUAACCUAACUCAAAUUGAGCAAUAAUGAAAGUGACUCAGCCUGGUGCAGAAAGACAGGACCACCACUAUCCCUGCUACCCACCUUUCAAUUUUAUUUAGCUAGAAGUUUCCAUUUCAGCUCUCCUCCUCCAAGACCAGAAAAACACAGCUCCAGAAGGAGGCAGUCCCCACAGCUGGCUCUUCUGCCCAGCCUUGCCCCUACCUGGAGCCAUCAUUUCAGCUUGCCUAUUCAUGCUGUCCCAAAGCUCAUCUACCAGACAUGGCCAGUAGCGCCUGGAUCAUUAAAUUAUUUUUGUACUCCAUUAUCCAAGCAUCUUUUAGGGAAGAGGUGACUAGGAAGCUGUUUCUUGGCUAUACUAAGCCAGCAAAGAUUGGGGUGGAUGGAUGGGAAUGUGGUAGGUGGAAGGGUGGGUAUUAUCUCUCCUUGCCAGAUCCCCAAGUGUUCAAGGUAUUAGCCUUCCAUGCCCUUAACUGAUCUUAGCCCCGAGGUGCCUUUUAUUAUAACUGGAUCUACAGGUCUUUGAAUGCUCUGAAGUUUUCCAGAAUAAUUGUGCCUCUUUGUUGUUUAGUGGCUCAGUCGUGUCCAAGUCUUUGCAACCUCAUGGGCUGUAUCCCACCAGGCUCCUCUGUCCACGGGAUUUUCCAGGCAAGAAUACUGGAGUAGGUUGCCAUUUCCUCCUUUAGGGGAUCUUCCAGACCCAGGGGUCAAAUCCUGCCACGUCUCCUGAAUUGCAGGACAUUGGCACCAAGCUGGAAGAUCCAGUCAAUGAAAGGACUUGAACAAGUAAAUGUUUUGGGGGUGUUGACCUAUGAAACUUCUUUAAAUACUCCUUUUUCUAUGUCACUUUCUUUCUUUUCUUUAUUUCCUUCUUCCUUUCCUUUCUUUCAAAACUUUUACUGAAAGGAAAAUCUGACAGAAAAUAUUUUCUAUUAUGAACUGUGAUUGUGUCUAAUAAAGCUAAAAUUACAUAAUGCUAUUCUUGUAAAAAGAUGAAGUUUUAAACACCUAGUGAUUAGAGGCAUUUUUCAGACUAUAGGUAAACAGAGACUCCAUAUCCACAGAAUUUCUUGUUGUUUAAAGCAAAUAUGUACAAAAGUCAAACACAUACCUUUUUAUAAAACAAAGUUAACAUUUGAAGAAAGACUGUGAUGGACUCAAGCA